UCGCCUUUUACUAAAGAUUUCCGUGGAGAGAAACACUCACGAGUUUCUAUCCAAUUUUUUGAGGCUUCACUUAGGUGAGGCU
rnacentral:snRNA from 1 species